CGGUGGUCGACUAUCGCGAGGUAGCACGCGUUGCGCGCACGACGCGAGUCGCACGACCUAGCCUAAUCCGCGUGGGCCGCUUAUCUCGAGCGUACUAACCUCAAAGCCGCGAGGGGAAACAGGAGAAGAAAGGGGAAGGAAGAGGGGUCUAAGGAAGGGUGGUAGGGAGGGAGGUGGGGCAAAGGAGGAGGAGAACUACCUGGAGGAUUCGCUGGCCUCCUGUCGUCGCGUUGAAUACGCCCGUGGAAUCCUCUCUCGAUCACGUGAGAUAAAGAGAGAAAGAGAUAAAAAGAUAAAAAAGAUAAAAAAAGAAAAAGAGGAGGAACGAGUUGGUGGAGCCCUUGGCUAUAGGACGGAAGAGCAAUAACUUAAUCGUCGCCACGUGUCGUCGAAUCUUCUAUCUUUUUUCUUCUUAUUCCUAUUCUUAUUCUUAUUCUUUUUAUUCUUGUUUUAUCUUAUAUUUUUAUCGUCGCGUUUUCCUCUACGAUAUUUUGAUUAAAAAGGGGAAGAGAACGGAAGGACUUUUGGAAGAGAUAAAAAGAAAGAAAAAAGAGAGAGAGAGAGAGAGAGAGAGGAAGGUGGUGGAUCGUUGGGAGAUGGGGGGUGGUGGGGAGACGAUCUCGUCGCGAGCCAGCCGGCGAUCGAAAGUAAUCCGCCAUGUCAGGGGGAACGCCAUAAUAUCGUUGACGAGAAACCUACUACGAUAAUCAUUGAAGGCGUUCGAUGAUCUCUCGAUAAUCGAUCGAUAGAAUUGCAUCGCGUAACGUUUCUUGUUACGUUUAUUACUCCGUUUGCGUAUAUACCUUCGUACGUUCGUUCAUUCGUUCGUUCGUUUGUUCGUACAGUUUGUUUGUUUGUUUGUUUGUUUAUUUGUUUGUUUGUUCGGUAAAAAAUUAUAGACGCCGGGGUAAGUUAGUUCGUUCGUUCGUUCCCUCGUUCCUUCGUUCAUUCGUUCGUUCGUUCGUUCGUUCGUUCGAGCCGAAGGAAAAGCCGAGUGUUCGCGAUACAUUCGUUCAUUCGUCGUUUGUUCGUUCGUUGGUUCGUUCGUUCGUUCGUUCGUUCGUUCGUGUUUGUUCGUUAAUCUUCGAUUUCGUGUCGCGAUAAUCGAAAAAGUGUUAACGUGAUAAUAAACAUAUAAACGUAAACGACUAAAUAAACAUAAAAUAAAAAAUAUAAAAAGGGCUCGAUCCUCGUUAGAUCGAAUAAAAAGUGUUGUUUAGUUCCACCUAUUUGUGGAUGGAUGGCGAACACAGGUGUUGAAGAAACAACGAGGAUCGUACGAUGAGCGACGGUAUUGCCGGUGCGAUCGCGAUCAGUUUGUUCGGAGACGAGAAUAAGAGGAGGGACAGCAUGGACACUGCGGGUUACUCGGCACUAUCCAAUGACGACGUUUGCAGAAUGUUUGAUCAGUAUUCCUAUAAG
rnacentral:lncRNA from 1 species